rnacentral:rRNA from 1 species
AAUCAACGCUGGCGGCGUGCCUCAGACAUGCAAGUCGAACGCGAAAGUCCCCUUCGGGGGGACAAGUAGAGUGGCGCACGGGUGAGUAACACGUAGGUAAUCUACCUUCGGAUGGGGAAUAACAACCGGAAACGGUUGCUAAUACCGCAUAAUGCAGCGGCACCUAAUGGUGACAGUUGUUAAAAGCGGGGGAUUGAAAGACCUCGCGUCUGAAGAGGAGCCUGCGGCGGAUUAGCUUGUUGGAGGGUAACGGCCUACCAAGGCGACGAUCCGUAGCCGGCCUGAGAGGGCGGUCGGCCACACUGACACUGACAUACGGGUCAGACUCCUACGGGA